rnacentral:rRNA from 1 species
AUUGAACGCUGGCGGCAGGCUUAACACCUGCACGUCGAACGAGUGGCGGACGGGUGAGUAAUGCUUGGGAAUCUCGCUUAUGGAGGGGGAUAACUACGGGAAACUGUAGCAAAUAACGCGUUCCAUAGGAUGAGCCCAAGUGGGAUUAGGUAGUUGGUGAGUUAAAGGCUCACAAAGACGACGAGCUCUAGCUGGUCUGAGCGGAUGACCAGCAACACUGGAACGUAGACACGGCCCAGACUCCUACGGGAGGCAGUAGUGGGGAAUAUUGCGCAAUAGGGGCAACCUGAUGCAGCCAUGCCGCUUGAAUGAAGAAGGCCUUGGGGUUGUAAAGUUCUUUCGGUAGCGAGGCGUUAACUACAGAAGAAGCACCGACUAACUCCGUGCCAGCAGCCGCGGUAAUAC